CUCUGUUGUUGUUAACUUACUUUCAAGUCUUUUCUUACUGUUAGUGUCUUUAAUGUUGUUUUUGCAUUUCCUUAGGUGAAGAGCUGGCACCAAAACCCACAACAUCAACAAUUAAAGUAACAUUAAAAACAACAAACAUAUGGACAACAAAAGAGGAAGUAAAGACAUCAGAGGGGACAUUGGCAACAAUCAAUCCAGAUUUUCUGUAUUUGUUGAGAUGCAUCAUUGUGUCUGUGGGUUUAGCAGCUCUCUUAAUAUCUGCUGUUACAGUCAACAUGUGGAUAAAAUGUAAAGGAGCAUAAUGAUGAGGGUGAAGAUAGAUUGAACUAUGAAAAUAUUGGAGACUCUUCUGCUUCUGUCAGACUCCACUGAUCAACAACUCAAACAUCAUCUCAUCACAUAAAUUAGCCCAUUGCUGUUGAAAAC
ensembl:lncRNA